rnacentral:rRNA from 1 species
AUUGAACGCUGGCGGCAUGCCUUACACAUGCAAGUCGAACGGCAGCACGGGAGCAAUCCUGGUGGCGAGUGGCGAACGGGUGAGUAAUAUAUCGGAACGUGCCCAGUAGUGGGGGAUAACUGCUCGAAAGAGCAGCUAAUACCGCAUACGACCUGAGGGUGAAAGGGGGGGAUCGCAAGACCUCUCGCUAUUGGAGCGGCCGAUAUCAGAUUAGCUAGUUGGUGGGGUAAAGGCCUACCAAGGCAACGAUCUGUAGUUGGUCUGAGAGGACGACCGGCCACACUGGGACUGAGACACGGCCCAGACUCCUACGGGAGGCAGCAGUGGGGAAUUUUGGACAAUGGGCGCAAGCCUGAUCCAGCAAUGCCGCGUGCAGGAAGAAGGCCUUCGGGUUGUAAACUGCUUUUGUCAGGGAAGAAAUCCUCUAGGUUAAUACCCUUGGGGGGAUGACGGUACCUGAAGAAUAAGCACCGGCUAACUACGUGCCAGCAGCCGCCGCGGUAA